rnacentral:rRNA from 1 species
ACUCGAAACUCAAAGGACUUGACGGUGUCCCAAACCAACCUAGAGGAGCCUGUCCUAUAAUCGAUAAUCCACGCUUCACCUUACCCCCCCUUGCAAACCAGUCUGUAUACCGCCGUCUUUCAGUUCGUCUUAUGACAGACCCAGAACAAACACAACAGCCCACCACUAAAACGUCAGGUCAAGGUGCAGCCAAUGAGGGGGCAGCGAUGGGCUACAUUUUCUACCACAACAGAACACCACAAACCACCACAUGAAAUAUAGGCCACAAGGCGGAUUUAGCAGUAAGCCAAACA